CGGAGCAAAUGGGCCUUGAUCCCACAAAAAUUAGUUAACAGCUAACUACCCUAACCAGCGGGCUUUUACUCG
rnacentral:tRNA from 1 species